rnacentral:lncRNA from 1 species
GCAAAAUUCACCCCAAAAGUGUAAUCACUGAAGUAAACAGAAAAAGAAUCGACGAAACAUUCUAUGUCUUUAACAAAACCCAAGAUUUUUGAUGUUUCUUCUUCUUCGCCGACUUGAAAUGAUCAUUUGAAACUAUUUUUUUCCUUCAUUUCUUUCAAUUUCUGAUAUGUUUAUUUUAUUUUUUAUUUUACAAGCAAGUAGUUUCAGAUCUCAAAGAAAUUUUUGAGUUUCAAAUUGGGAAUCCAAUUCUUUUUCGUGAAUGAAGAAGGGAAUUAGGGGGUCCUUGGGCUUUUGGUUAAAGAAGAUAGGAGAGGAGCGCCUUUGUUCUUUAUGAAAAAGAAAAGGGGUACGAUCGGUUUAGUUUGUUUUGGAGAAAGGAGGAGGAAGAAGAAGAAGAAGGGAGUGGUCUAGUUUUCGCUCAAAAUGAGGAAUAAGAAGGGAGUUGUUGUGCUUCAGAAGCCCUUUGUUCUCCAUCUUUUCUAAGGGGGAGCUUCUUUGAUUUUUAGGUCUCCUAAAG